rnacentral:rRNA from 1 species
UACCAGCACCCCCGAGUGGUCGGGACGAUUAUUGGGCCUAAAGCAUCCGUAGCCGGUUCUGCAAGUCUCCCGUUAAAUCCAACUGCUCAACAGGUGGGCUGCGGAGGAUACUACAGAGCUAGGAGGCAGGAGAGGCAAGCGGUACUCAGUGGGUAGGGGUAAAAUCCGUUGAUCCAUUGAAGACCACCACGUGGCGAAGGCGGCUGCCAGAAUGCGCUCGACGGUGAGGGA